CAAGAGGUGGUACCGUGUAACGUGAGUGUGUAACAGGCUCCGCCCUAAGUUGGUGUAAGUUCAGUAACUCGGAGGUGUGCACAUCCGGGAACUCACCUGGAGGUGCAUUUCUCAGAUGCGUCUCCUCUGGGUGUAACUCGCUGCUUUAAUCUCCAGCACCAGAAACAAACUAACACGGGAAUGUGCAUCUCUUCAUAAAGCAACGCGAGAUUGUGAACAAUGACCAUGCGCCAUUGUAUAGAUGAGGAAGCGCAUGCGCUUGGAGAGGCGGCCCGCUCAGCCCAGGUACAGGCAGAGGCAGAGCCAGGGACGGACCACAUGCAGCUCAUCCUUCCGGGGCUUCGCUGGGCAACAAUCAACCUGCUAACACGCUACCAAAAACAAACAAUAUGCCCAGGACAUCAUCAACCA
rnacentral:lncRNA from 1 species